UACGUAGGGGGCAAGCGUUGUCCGGAUUUAUUGGGCGUAAAGAGCGUGUAGGCGGCCAGGUAGGUCGGUUGUGAAAACUGGAGGCUCAACCUUCAGACGUCGACCGAAACCAUCUGGCUAGAGUCCGGGAGAGGAGAGUGGAAUUCCUGGUGUAGCGGUGAAAUGCGCAGAUAUCAGGAAGAACACCCGUGGCGAAAGCGGCUCUCUGGAACGGUACUGACGCUGAGACGCGAAAGCGUGGGGAGCGAAACAGG
rnacentral:rRNA from 1 species